rnacentral:rRNA from 1 species
CGGGGUGAGUAAUGCUUGGGAAUCUAGCUUAUGAAGGGGGAUAACUACGGGAAACUGUAGCUAAUACCGCGUAAUAUCGAAAGAUUAAAGUGUGGGACCUUCGGGCCACAUGCCAUAGGAUGAGCCCAAGUGGGAUUAGGUAGUUGGUGAGGUAAAGGCUCACCAAGCCGACGAUCUCUAGCUGGUCUGAGAGGAUGACCAGCCACACUGGGACUGAGACACGGCCCAG